GAUGAACGCUGGCGGCGUGCCUAAUACAUGCAAGUCGAGCGAACGGACGAGAAGCUUGCUUCUCUGAUGUUAGCGGCGGACGGGUGAGUAACACGUGGAUAACCUACCUAUAAGACUGGGAUCACUUCGGGAAACCGGAGCUAAUACCGGAUAAUAUUUUGAACCGCAUGGUUCAAAAGUGAAAGACGGUCUUGCUGUCACUUAUAGAUGGAUCCGCGCUGCAUUAGCUAGUUGGUAAGGUAACGGCUUACCAAGGCAACGAUGCAUAGCCGACCUGAGAGGGUGAUCGGCCACACUGGAACUGAGACACGGUCCAGACUACUACGGGAGGCAGCAGUAGGGAAUCUUCCGCAAUGGGCGAAGGCCUGACGGAGCAACGCCGCGUGAGUGAUGAAGGUCUUCGGAUCGUAAAACUCUGUUAUUAGGGAAGAACAUAUGUGUAAGUAACUGUGCACAUCUUGACGGUACCUAAUCAGAAAGCCACGGCUAACUACGUG
rnacentral:rRNA from 1 species